UGUCCUCGAUAGUGACGGUUGAGUUUUGAGGCGUCGGUAUGGCUGGAUUUGUAUCGUACGAUGAGCCCGGGUUGAAGAUUUUAGUGCUGUAAAAUAAAAAUGAAUUAUGAUUACAAUACGAACACAAUGACUUCUCAAAAUAUCUGGUAUCUUAUCAGGCGAUCCACGAAAAUGCAAUCCAAAGACUGGUAAAACAUUCAGAUCGGUACAUUUACGUCAUUAAACAAUAUAUCAGCUGUUUUUCAAAGAAGGACGAAUCUUACAAAAGUAAACAAAUCGAGUUUCUCUCUCCUACCAAUAAAUGCUUCAAAAUCCUACAAUUUUGUCUAAAAAUUCGUAUUCUACAAAAAUCUCGAUCUUAGUAAUACAAAGAACUAUAAAUGGCGAAA